ACCAAGGCAAUGAUGCAUAGCCGAGUUGAGAGACUGAUCGGCCACAUUGGGACUGAGACACGGCCCAAACUCCUACGGGAGGCAGCAGUAGGGAAUCUUCCACAAUGGACGCAAGUCUGAUGGAGCAACGCCGCGUGAGUGAAGAAGGUUUUCGGAUCGUAAAGCUCUGUUGUUGGUGAAGAAGGAUAGUGGCAGCAACUGGCCAUUAUUUGACGGUAAUCAACCAGAAAGUCACGGCUAACUACGUGCCAGCAGCCGCGGUAAUACGUAGGUGGCAAGCGUUGUCCGGAUUUAUUGGGCGUAAAGCGAGCGCAGGCGGAAAGAUAAGUCUGAAGUGAAAGCCCCCGGCUUAACCGGGGAACUGCUUCGGAAACUGUCCUUCUUGAGUGCAGAAGAGGAGAGUGGAACUCCAUGUGUAGCGGUGGAAUGCGUAGAUAUAUGGAAGAACACCAGUGGCGAAGGCGGCUCUCUGGUCUGCAACUGACGCUGAGGCUCGAAAGCAUGGGUAGCGAACAGGAUUAGAUACCCUGGUAGUCCAUGCCGUAAACGAUGAGUGCUAGGUGUUGGGGACUUUCCGGUUCUCAGUGCCGCAGCUAACGCAAUAAGCACUCCGCCUGGGGAGUACGACCGCAAGGUUGAAACUCAAAGGAAUUGACGGGGGCCCGCACAAGCGGUGGAGCAUGUGGUUUAAUUCGAAGCAACGCGAAGAACCUUACCAGGUCUUGACAUCCUGCGCCAAGCCUAGAGAUAGGCCGUUCCCUUCGGGGACGCAGAGACAGGUGGUGCAUGGCUGUCGUCAGCUCGUGUCGUGAGAUGUUGGGUUAAGUCCCGCAACGAGCGCAACCCUUGUCACUAGUUGCCAGCAUUAGGUUGGGCACUCUAGUGAGACUGCCGGUGACAAACCGGAGGAAGGUGGGGAUGACGUCAAGUCAUCAUGCCCCUUAUGACCUGGGCUACACACGUGCUACAAUGGGCAGUACAACGAGAAGCGAACCCGCGAGGGCAAGCGGAUCUCUUAAAGCUGUUCUCAGUUCGGACUGCAGGCUGCAACUCGCCUGCACGAAGCUGGAAUCGCUAGUAAUCGUGGAUCAGCACGCCACGGUGAAUACGUUCCCGGGCCUUGUACACACCGCCCGUCACACCAUGGAAGUCUGCAAUGCCCGAAGUCGGUGGGAUAACC
rnacentral:rRNA from 1 species